UACGAAGGGCGCAAGCGUUAAUCGGAAUUACUGGGCGUAAAGGGUGCGUAGGCGGUUCGUUAAGUCUGUCGUGAAAUCCCCGGGCUCAACCUGGGAAUGGCGAUGGAUACUGGCGAGCUAGAGUGUGUCAGAGGAUGGUGGAAUUCCCGGUGUAGCGGUGAAAUGCGUAGAGAUCGGGAGGAACAUCAGUGGCGAAGGCGGCCAUCUGGGACAACACUGACGCUGAAGCACGAAAGCGUGGGGAGCAAACAGG
rnacentral:rRNA from 1 species